rnacentral:tRNA from 1 species
UUGGCUCCGUACCUAGGAAUCGAACCUAGCGCGUUUCGGUUAACAGCCGAGCCCCAUCGCCUUGAUGGGCCGUACGGAA